GACGAUCAGAUACCGUCCUA
rnacentral:siRNA from 1 species